UUUGCUCCUUUAAUUCUCUAGAUUUGGUGCAAUCUUAUUUUGUUGUUGCUCGUUGUUUGACACUUGUUUUGUGACCAAUUUUGGAGAACAAUAUUGUAAUUCUUGGUGAUUAUAGUGGAGCUUUUGGUCCCGUGGUUUUUUACUCUUCACAUCGAAGGGUUUUCCACGUAAAUCUUGGUGUCUUGUGUGAUUGGUUUAUUAUUGCCUUGUUAUAUUUGUUUGGUUGAAUUACUUGCUGCCUUACUAUUAUAUUGUUUGUGGUUGUUUGUCUUCUCUUGGUUCAAAUCGAAAAGGGAAAGUAUAGACUUGGGUAUUCUUCCGCUGUUAUCUUGUUAGACAUUCUUUGUUAGUGCCUUGUCUUUCCCAACAUAGAAGAAGAUGAAAUCAAACUCCCAAGUAUAACAUACAUACAGAUGCUUUGAACACCAUCCAAGGAAUCACA
rnacentral:misc_RNA from 1 species